AGUCGAGCGGUAGAGAAGGAGCUUGCUUCUUCAUGGGAGCGGCGGACGGGUGAGUAAUGCCUAGGAAUCUGCCUGGUAGUGGGGGACAACGUUUCGAAAGGAACGCUAAUACCGCAUACGUCCUACGGGAGAAAGUGGGGGAUCUUCGGACCUCACGCUAUCAGAUGAGCCUAGGUCGGAUUAGCUUGUAGGUGAGGUAAUGGCUCACCUAGGCAACGAUCCGUAACUGGUCUGAGAGGAUGAUCAGUCACACUGGAACUGAGACACGGUCCAGACUCCUACGGGAGGCAGCAGUGGGGAAUAUUGGACAAUGGGCGAAAGCCUGAUCCAGCCAUGCCGCGUGUGUGAAGAAGGUCUUCGGAUUGUAAAGCACUUUAAGUUGGGAGGAAGGGUUGUAGCUUAAUACGCUGCAACCUUGACGUUACCAACAGAAUAAGCACCGGCUAACUCUGUGCCAGCAGCCGCGGUAAUACAGAGGGUGCAAGCGUUAAUCGGAAUUACUGGGCGUAAAGCGCGCGUAGGCGGCUUGAUAAGAUGGGUGUGAAAUCCCCGGGCUUAACCUGGGAACUGCAUCCAUAACUGUCUGGCUAGAGUACAGUAGAGGGUGGUGGAAUUUCCUGUGUAGCGGUGAAAUGCGUAGAUAUAGGAAGGAACACCAGUGGCGAAGGCGACCACCUGGACUGAUACUGACGCUGAGGUGCGAAAGCGUGGGGAGCAAA
rnacentral:rRNA from 1 species